AACGCGAAGAACCUUACCAAGGCUUGACAUACACCGGAAACGGCCAGAGAUGGUCGCCCCCUUGUCGUCGGUGUACAGGUGGUGCAUGGCUGUCGUCAGCUCGUGUCGUGAGAUGUUGGGUUAAGUCCCGCAACGAGCGCAACCCUUGUUCUGUGUUGCCAGCAUGCCCUUCGGGGUGAUGGGGACUCACAGGAGACUGCCGGGGUCAACUCGGAGGAAGGUGGGGACGACGUCAAGUCAUCAUGCCCCUUAUGUCUUGGGCUGCACACGUGCUACAAUGGCCGGUACAAAGAGCUGCGAAGCCGUGAGGUGGAGCGAAUCUCAAAAAGCCGGUCUCAGUUCGGAUUGGGGUCUGCAACUCGACCCCAUGAAGUCGGAGUUGCUACUAAU
rnacentral:rRNA from 1 species